CCUACGGGAGGCAGCAGUGAGGAAUAUUGGUCAAUGGCCGGAAGGCUGAACCAGCCAUGCCGCGUGAAGGUCAGUGCCCUAUGGGCGUUACACUUCUUUUGUGCGGGAGCAAUAAUGGUCACGUGUGGCCAGACGAGAGUACCGUAAGAAUAAGCAUCGGCUAACUCCGUGACAGCAGCCGCGGUCAUAAGGGGGAUGCAAGCGUUAUCCGGAUUUAUUGGGUUUAAAGGGUGCGUAGGCUGGUAGGUAAGUCAGCGGUGAAAUGCCCCCGCUCAACGGGGUGAAGUGCCAUUGAUACUGCCGUGCUGGAAUGCGGAUGCCGUGGGAGGAAUGUGGGGUGUAGCGGUGAAAUGCAUAGAUAUCACACAGAACACCGAUUGCGAAGGCAUCUCACGAAGCCGCGAUUGACGCUGAUGCACGAAAGCGUGGAUAUCAAACAGGAUUAGAUACCCGAGUAGUC
rnacentral:rRNA from 1 species